AUGGAGGAGAAAGCCACUGUGUCUCUUGGGACUGGAAAACUAAGAAGCAGCAGUGAGAACUCUGAAAAUGCCAAAGAAUUAUUGAAGCUAUUCCAGUGGAGGCAUUCAGUCAUUCUAUACCAGUGGCACAUACGUCAUUUUCACCUGAUGGGACUUUUCCUUAGGAAACCAGUGUGCUUAAUUCCAGAAAGCAAAUCCUGCCAUGAUUGUGCCACUGUUUUUGCUCAGAGUUGUAAGAUUGGUCUGGUUGAAAAUUUUAAGUUCAGACCUUGGAUGCAUCGUGGCAAACAAAUAAUUUGGAGAAAAAAUACUCAACUUGCAAUCUUUGCUCUGUACUCUUCCCAAUGACUGGUUUCUGAACUCAGAAUAUGUCUAAAUACUGCCGAAGGUAGGACUGGAAAUAUAAAAAUAGGUUCAGUCUGAGUGUUGUCGACAUGCACACAAAAGACGAUGAUAACUAUGAGGUGAUGGAUAUAUUAAUUAGCUUGAUUGUAGUAAUUAUUUCACAAUGUAUAUAAAGUUAUCAGGUUAUAUGUUUUAAAUAUAUACAAUGUUUAAUCAUCAGUUAUACCUCAGGAAAGCUAAAGAGGAAAUAACAAACUAAUAAAUGUGUUCACCUAUGUGACA
rnacentral:lncRNA from 1 species